UGGCUCAGACAGUAGAGAAUCUGCCUGCAAAGCAGGAGAUCCAGGUUUGAUCCCUGG
rnacentral:tRNA from 1 species